ACUCUAUGCACAGCCAAGCAUCUGGCAGUAACAACUUUCAAAGUUUUAUUUGAUAAUUAUAAUCCACUGUAGGAUGCUGAGUUGCUUCAGUGGACCGUAACCUGCCAGGCUCCUCUGUCUUCUCCAGGUUUAUAGGAACAUUGUUGUUGUGACCAGACCCUCAUGGACAGCCACCAUAACAAAUGAUUCCUACACCAAGAAGCCUGCAAAGACCAGCCACUCCUCUGUCCAUUCAGUAUAAAAGAAGCCGGAACUGUAACUCAGCUUCCCAUAGCCCAGCUGUUCUAUAGGAACUCGGAGUCAGCUCUUCUCCACUGCGAGCUGGAUAAGACCAGUUGGGACCGCUGAUCCUAAAACUGACCUGAGUGGUGUCUCAUGAAUGGCCUUUGGAAGGCAGAGGACUAGAAAACUCCACCCUCAGAUCCUUCUGGGCACCUCCAUUUAAAAUAUGCAGAGGUGAGCAACCCAAUGCGCCUGCGCAGAUGACCUCACCUCUUUCUGCACGAAUCACCUUUCCCCAAUACUUUGGCCACCUCAUGCGAAGAGUUGACUCAUUGGAAAAUACCCUGAUGCUGGGAGGGACUGGGGGCAGGAGGAGAAGGAGACAUCAGAGGAUGAGAUGGCUGGAUGGCAUCACGAACUCAGUUGACUCAUGUCCAGCUCUUCCUGAUUCCAUGGACUGUAGCCCGCCAGGCUCCUCUGUCCAGGCAAGAAUACUGGAGUGGGUUGCCAUUUCCUUCUCCAGGGGAUUUUCUCGACCCAGGGAUCAAACCAGCAUCUCUUGCAUUGGGCUCAAUUCACAUUCCCCUCUCCUCCCUGUUUGUUUUCAUUGCAAUCAAGGAAAGUUUACUGCAUUCAUACUUCUUAAAGAGAAAAGUACUUUCAUGUCAUUAUAAAUUCCUACGGAGUUACAAAGUCUGACACAGAAUUGUAUGGAAAGGGCAUUAUGUGAAAAGAUACCAUGGAAGCCAGGAUCCGAGUGGAAAAUCAAAACAACUACUCCUAAGGAGGCCUGGUGUGCUGCGAUUCAUGGGGUUGCAAAGAGUCGGACACGACUGAGCGACUGAACUGAACUGAAGCUGUACUUUCCUCCUAUUUCUGGAAAUUAUUUUCCUGCUAAAAUGAAUUAUUCUCCACUUUGUACCUAUAGAACUCAAUUUAAUUUUUAUCUUUCCACUUCUUCAAUUUGUCGAGAUGCUUUGAAUUUAAAUUCUACAAUAAGAAAGUCAAUCCCCCCAAGUAGAUGUCAUCAGUACAAAUGUAAUGUGUAUUCAUUCAAGUAAUUGAUAGAAGAGUGUCUGUUUUCUGCCCGGAAGAUGUUAAUCUGAGCCCUGCCCUCUCCAGUUAAUUUAGAAAUAUUGUUAACUGCUAUGAUAAAAUUUAUUAUGCAAAGGGGAAAAUGUGAUAUAAACAAUCAAAUCAUUUUAUUUCUUGAAUGCUUUGUAUAUAUCAUACUAGACUAAGCAGAGAAGGCAACGGCACCCCACUCCAGUACUCUUGCCUGGAAAAUCCCAUGGAUGGAGGAGCCUGGAAGGCUGCAGUCCAUGGGGUCGCUGAGGGUCGGACACGACUGAGCGACUUCGCUUUCACUUUUCACUUUCAUGCAUUGGAGAAGGAAAUGGCAACCCACUCCAUUGUUCUUGCCUGGAGAAUCCCAGGGACGGGGGAGCCUGGUGAGCUGCCGUCUAUGGGGUUGCACAGAGUUGGACACGACUGAAGUGACUUAGCAGCAGCAAGCAAAUUAAAAUCAACCAAAUGUAUUUUUUUAUCAGUCUCACAUUUCUAAAGCAAAUGAAAUCAAAUAAUAAGGUUUUGGG
ensembl:lncRNA